rnacentral:rRNA from 1 species
CCCUUAGACGUUCUGGGCCGCACGCGCGCUACACUGACCAGUGCAACAAGCAUCCGUCCUUGGCCGACAGGCCCGGGCAAUCUUUGAACGCUGGUCGUGAUGGGGAUAGACUUUUGCAAUUUUUGGUCUUCAACGAGGAAUUCCUAGUAAACGCAAGUCAUCAACUUGCAUUGAUUACGUCCCUGCCCUUUGUACACACCGCCCGUCGCACCUACCGAUUGAAUGGCUCAGUGAGGCCUUCGGACUGGCUCGGGGAGGUUGGCAACGACCACCCCAAGCCGGAAAGUUCGUCAAACUCGGUCAUUUAGAGGAAGUAAAAGUCGUAACA